CGGAGACGCCUGCCUCUCUCCCUCACCAUCCCUGCCCAGCUCCAGCCCAGUCUGUUGUGUAAGAGCCAAAGGGGACUUGUGAUAAUGGAGCCACACGCCCAGGCCCAACCCAGACCCAACCCAGACCCGGGGAGCUUGACCCGAGGGGAGCGCAGAACCUGAACCUAACACUCCGAACUCCCCGGCGAGGAGAGGGGGCCGGGCAGCCAAAAGGAAACUCCUGGGUCUUUUAUUGAACGCAUAAAAUAAAAGGUGAAGAGCUCUGGUUGGGACGAAAGCCUCAGAUAAACCCAAGAGAAGCUUGGAGCUGGAGUUCUGCAUUAGGAUCAUGGCUGGGCAUGGCAGCGCAAGCCUACAGUCCCAGCUAUUCAGGUGGCUGAAGCAGGAGGACGGUUUGAGCCCAGCAGUGUGAGGCUGUGGGGUG